GUAGAUCAUGUAACAAAUAACAAGUAAUGAAGUAAGUAACAGAGCAAAUGACGAGUAAGUAGUAAAAAUAAUAAUGAUACUUGAUACUUGAAUUGAUCUUGCAAGUAAUAAAAAUUGUUGACUUGUUACUUACUUUGACAACACAGAGUACUUGAAUUUUUAACGCGGGUACAAAUCAAAUAGCGAAUUUAAUACGAGUAAUGAGUAAUGAUGCCCGGCGCACUAAACAUACCGGAUUAAACCGAUAGAUCAAUCACGGAACCAAAAAAACCAGAAGAAUAAAAAUAGAAGAAGGAACUGAAGAGAAUCGGAAUUGAACCAGAGGCUGUGGCAAGAUUAGAUUGGUAGUGUGUCUCCUUUAUCCUCUAAGUUAUCCAUCGUCCAUUUCAAUGCGUUCUUGCUGCUCUGUGAGAAAUCCAUCGUGAUUCCUAUCUUCCUGUGUUUCAUCAUCUUUCUCGACUUUACUGAUCUGAUUUUGUCUGUGUGAAUGAGAAACAAGCAUUGUGAGGAUGUGCUUCUAGCUUUCAAUGCUAAAGUUUAUGGGAUUGUUAUGGAUUUGGAUCAAUGAUAACUCAUUUGUUUUAAUGUGAAUAACGUGCAUUUUAAAGAGGUAAUUGUGAAAGAAACCAUAGAAGAUAGCGAAAUUAGCUAAAUACAAAAACCAGUAAAAAAAUUAGUUGCGUUGAAGAUAAGGUAUAAACAAAAUGAAGAUUAAGCCCCUCCCCCGUUAAAAUAAUUAGUUGCAUGGAAGAAGCCAUGUACUAGCGGUAUGUCGUUUACUGUCCUAAAUGGUGAAACAAAAUUAAUGUUGAUGUCGCAUGCAUUUAUAUUGUCUCCGUUUAAUGUUAACCUUGGUUAACCAUCUACCUAGCUCGUUGCUCCAUUAAAUAGUUAUGUUCGGUGAGUAGUAGAAACACACAAGUGAUAUAAAAGGGGUUCUUAUAUGAAGUAAAGUAGGAAUUUACUUACGAAUUACGAUCCACGAUUUCCAAGUCUGAGAUUUGAUUUGAUUUUUGAUAAAUGUCAGAAGACUGGUUGUCAUUUCAUAACUGAUGUGACGGAUUGCGGAUUUGCGGUAAUCAUGAAGGAUGGCGAGAGGUUCGAAACUUUAGAGGCCAUUGUUAGACGCCGGUAUUGUGUACAAGAGUCGAAUCUGAUGGUGAUAACUUAUAGAUUACCUGACUGGAUGCUUUCCCUAAGUGGUAUGACUCCACGUAAGUAGUCACGUAUUAGCUACGAUUUAUUUUGUGAUUAAAUAAGAUACAACUAAAGCGAUUAAAUCGUGACUAAUUGGUCACGAGUAUUUGGUGACUAAUUGGUAUUUAACAGUUA
rnacentral:lncRNA from 1 species